UUCAUCCCUGCCUCUGUCAUCCUUACCAUUUGAUUACCUGCAGACCAAGUGUCAACAAGGAGCUGCAGUCAGAACUGGCUGACUCACUAGGGCCUCAGUACCUUGUCUUUGAUGAUCUCUGCAUGGUAGAGUCUUUUUCUAGAGCCACUUCCUGUUUCCCUCUUGUUCGACAAAAGGAGCUCCCAGCCUUUCUUCUUUACUUGAUCAAGUGAGAUGGAGCUUCUGGGGGGACCUACCUCGUAGAGCAGGGACAGUGAAGCCCUGGGAGAGAACAAAGAGCACAGAGAUGUCCCAGAAAGGGAACUGCUCACACCUGAUCUCUUCCUGGGUCAGGAGAGAACCUGCCUCCCUCGAUCAGUGUUGCUCUCUGUGGAAGUUGUAGAAAGGGUUCCUGGGGAAAAUCAACACAGUGGCUGCAAGAAGGAUAUGGUGGACUUGAAAAGAGAGAGAAAAAUACAGAGGAUCCAAAAAAUCAGGACAUAUUGGAUAGAAGUACAAAACCCCCCAUUUGUUUUCCUGUGUUUUCAGGUGUUUUAGAUAGCAGAUAGAGCUUACUUUCGAAGACUAAUGCCUUAAAUCUAGCAAUAUUUCAUCUGAAAAGGAGGC
rnacentral:lncRNA from 1 species